rnacentral:misc_RNA from 1 species
AUUCAUUCUCUUUGAGGAUUAUAUAACUACAUGAUCUCAAUUCAAUUUUACUAUUCCCAAAAUUCCAACACUCCCUUCCACAUGUAUCUUCUUCAUAGAGUUUCAUGUCUCCAUCAUAGUUAUAACAUCCAGCUGCAUAUUUCCCUGGAAAAAUCUUGCUAAAACCAAAAAGGAAUCCAUGGUCUGUCUUCACCGCAAAAACAUGUUUAAAAAAUUCUGAAUUUUUUUCUUCAUAAUCCUGUUCAUCAACAUCUUUAAUACCAAAUUCAAUAUUAAUUGCUUCUUGGUCAUGAAAAAAUACUCCAAAAUCAUUCUCAAGAAGAUCCUCUGUUUCUUCCUCUAUCUUUUGCUG